GGGCGCUGGAGUCACGUCUGUGGAGGCACCCUCAUGUCCCAAGAAUGGGUCCUGGACUGCUGCACACUGCAUCAAGUUCCGUGAAGUCGACGACUACAGAGUGAAGCUGGGGAAGCACAGUCUGAAGGCCACUGAGGAAGGCUCAGUCGCUCGCAGCGCAACCAAGAUCAUUACUCAUGAAGACUACAACAUCCUGCUCAGCCGGAAUGACAUUGCUCUGAUUAAGCUGUCUUCCCCUGUUGCUUUGUCUGAUACAAUCACACCUGCGUGCCUUUUAGAGUGGGACGUCGUUCGCCCACAUGGGACCCCUGGUUUUGUCACUGGCUGGGGGCGUCUGUCAAGUGAGUGAUCCAAAGAGAAAUGAGACAAAGCUUAACUAUUAGCUAAACCAAAGGUUGGACGAAAGGUUUGGUGACUGUUUAUCCUGAAUUAUGCAUGAGUACUGUGAACAGUCAGCUAGCGGCGAUGUACAUUGUCUACAUUAGUUGAGCUUACACAUUUGCCACAUAGUACAACAGCAAACCUUUAUGGGAGAGAGCAACAAAAGUAGCACUUAACAGCAU